rnacentral:rRNA from 1 species
AAUAGAUACCCCGGUACGUCCACGCCGUAAACGGUGGGCACUAGAUGUGGGGCUCGUUUCCAUGAGUUCCGCGUCGCAGCUAACGCAUUAAGUGCCCCGCCUGGGGAGUACGGCCGCAAGGCUAAAACUCAAAGGAAUUGACGGGGGCCCGGCACAAGCGGCGGAGCAUGCGGAUUAAUUCGAUGCAACGCGAAGAACCUUACCAAGGCUUGACAUAUACGGUCUAUCCCUAGAGAUAGGGAGUGCUUCGGCGCCGUAUACAGGUGGUGCAUGGUUGUCGUCAGCUCGUGUCGUGAGAUGUUGGGUUAAGUCCCGCAACGAGCGCAACCCUCGUUCUAUGUUGCCAGCACGUAAUGGUGGGGACUCAUAGGAGACUGCCGGGGUCAACUCGGAGGAAGGUGGGGAUGACGUCAAAUCAUCAUGCCCCUUAUGUCUUGGGCUUCACGCAUGCUACAAUGGCCGGUACAAAGGGCUGCAAUCCGUAAGGUGGAGCGAAUCCCAAAAAGCCGGUCUCAGUUCGGAUUGAGGU